rnacentral:rRNA from 1 species
GACGAACGCUGGCGGCGUGCCUAAUACAUGCAAGUUGAGCGCUGAAUGUUGGUACUUGUACCAACUGGAUGAGCAGCGAACGGUUGAGUAACGCGUGGGGAAUCUUCCUUUGAGCGGGGGACAGCAUUUGGAAACGAAUGCUAAUACCGCAUAAAAACUUUAAACACAAGUUUUAAGUUUGAAAGAUGCAAUUGCAUCACUCAAAGAUGAUCCCGCGUUGUAUUAGCUAGUUGGUGAGGUAAAGGCUCACCAAGGCGAUGAUACAUAGCCGACCUGAGAGGGUGAUCGGCCACAUUGGGACUGAGACACGGCCCAAACUCCUACGGGAGGCAGCAGUAGGGAAUCUUCGGCAAUGGACGAAAGUCUGACCGAGCAACGCCGCGUGAGUGAAGAAGGUUUUCGGAUCGUAAAACUCUGUUGGUAGAGAAGAACGUUGGUGAGAGUGGAAAGCUCAUCAAGUGACGGUAACUAACCAGAAAGGGACGGCUAACUACGUG